UGAGACCGGCGCACGGGUGCGUAACGCGUAUGCAAUCUACCUUGUACAGAGGAAUAGCCCAGAGAAAUUUGGAUUAAUGCCUCAUAGUAUAUUGGGUCGGCAUCGACCUAUUAUUAAAGAUUUAUCGGUAAAAGAUGAGCAUGCGUCCCAUUAGCUAGUUGGUAAGGUAACGGCUUACCAAGGCGACGAUGGGUAGGGGUCCUGAGAGGGAGAUCCCCCACACUGGUACUGAGACACGGACCAGACUCCUACGGGAGGCAGCAGUGAGGAAUAUUGGUCAAUGGACGCAAGUCUGAACCAGCCAUGCCGCGUGCAGGAUGACGGUCCUAUGGAUUGUAAACUGCUUUUGUACAGGAAGAAACCCUACUUCGUGAAGUAGAUUGACGGUACUGUAAGAAUAAGGAUCGGCUAACUCCGUGCCAGCAGCCGCGGUAAUACGGAGGAUCCAAGCGUUAUCCGGAAUCAUUGGGUUUAAAGGGUCCGUAGGCGGCCUAGCAAGUCAGUGGUGAAAUCUCCCCGCUCAACGGGGAA
rnacentral:rRNA from 1 species